CCUACGGGAGGCAGCAGUGAGGAAUAUUGGUCAAUGGGCGAGAGCCUGAACCAGCCAAGUAGCGUGCGGGAUGAAGGCCCUUGUGGUCGUAAACCGCUUUUAUCAGUGAAUAAAGUGCACCACGUGUGGUGUCAUUGCAGGUAGCUGAAGAAAAAGGACCGGCUAAUUCCGUGCCAGCAGCCGCGGUAAUACGGAAGGUCCGGGCGUUAUCCGGAAUUAUUGGGUUUAAAGGGAGCGCAGGCGGGAGUAUAAGUCAGCUGUUAAAUAUCAGGGCCCAACUCUGUUAUGCAGUUGAAACUAUAUUUCUUGAGUACGCACAGGGAUGGCGGAAUUCAGGGUGUAGCGGUGAAAUGCUUAGAUAUCCUGAAGAACUCCGAUCGCGAAGGCAGCCAUCCGGAGCGUAACUGACGCUGAGGCUCGAAGGUGCGGGUAUCGAACAGGAUUAGAUACCCCAGUAGUC
rnacentral:rRNA from 1 species